AGAGUUUGAUCCUGGCUCAGGACGAACGCUGGCGGCGUGCUUAACACAUGCAAGUCGAACGGUGAAGCCCUUCGGGGUGGAUCAGUGGCGAACGGGUGAGUAACACGUGGGCAAUCUGCCUGCACUUCGGGACAAGCCCUGGAAACGGGGUCUAAUACCGGAUACGACCACGGGAUGCAUGUUCUGUGGUGGAAAGCUCC
rnacentral:rRNA from 1 species